rnacentral:rRNA from 1 species
UACGUAGGGUGCGAGCGUUAAUCGGAAUUGCUGGGCGUAAAGCGUGCGCAGGCGGUUCGUUAUGUCCGUUGUGAAAGCCCCGGGCUCAACCUGGGAAUGGCAAUGGAAACUGGCGGGCUAGAGUGUGGCAGAGGGGGGUGGAAUUCCGCGUGUAGCAGUGAAAUGCGUAGAGAUGCGGAGGAACACCGAUGGCGAAGGCAGCCCCCUGGGCUAGCACUGACGCUCAGGCACGAAAGCGUGGGGAGCAAACAGG